UCCGGCAGCUAGCUCUCUGCAACUCUCACAUGGUUGCCCACUGAAGCUAAGCAGGGCUGCGCCCGGUCAGUACCUGGAUGGGAGACCACAUGGGAAAGCUAGGUUGCUGCCGGAA
rnacentral:rRNA from 1 species